AUGGGUAGCUUCCUGCCAUGGCGAUCAUGGUCUUUGAUAGUACUAUUUCUCUUGUUACAGUCCAUGCUUCAAUUGUCCUCUGGCUGCUUCGUGGAGGAGAGAGCUGCUCUACUAGACAUCCAGUCCUCGCUGAUAAGAGCGCAUUCCCAGAUUUCGCUUGAUUCGUGGAGGAAGGAUGAUGAUGACUGCUGCUCAUGGGAUCUUGUGAAAUGCAACAAUAGCACCCAACGGGUGUCCCAUCUUGACCUUAGCUUGGUAUAUUUCCCAGCAGAUGUAGAUGAUCGUUGGUAUUUGAACUUGACAGCGUUUUCUGCAUUCCAUGAGCUUCGGUACCUAGAUCUAUCAUACAACUAUCAAUGUUCUCUAAGCUCGGAAGCAGGGUUAGUCGGACUAUCAAAGCUUCGAUAUCUCGACCUCAGUGGCACUCUGUUGGGAGUGGGUUUCCCGGAAUUUAUUGCGAAAAUUUUCUCACUGGAAGUCUUAGCUCUCAACGAUAACAACCUGAACGGAAGUCUCCAAGCUGCAGCUGUUGAAAAUCUUAGGAAUUUGCGACAAUUGAAUAUGUCUGGGAAUAGAUUCAACGGAGACCUCCCAGCCUCACUAUUUGCACUUCCUCAGCUAAAGAUCCUAGAUCUCUCCAGAAAUAACUUCUGUUGGCAUAUUCCAGUUAGUUCAUCCCCAGGGCCAAUUUCACCUGAAGUCCUAGAUCUCAGUUUUAAUCGCCUCAAUGGAACUCUCCCGGUUAGAGCUUUUAAAAACAUCAGGAGCUUGAAUUUGGGUGGCAACCAGUUUAGCGGAUCUCUUCCUGUGUCAUUAUUUGCACUUCCUCAUCUCAAGUUCCUAGAUCUCUCAGAUAAUAAUUUUAAGGGACGUUUUCCUGUUAAUCUGUCUUUGGUGCCGGUCCCCCUUGAGGUCUUACAUCUGGAAUAUAAUAAGUUGAGUGGACCUCUUCCGACUGAACAAGAAUUUGUAAAUCUUCAGAACCUACGAGAGUUGUAUUUGAGUUCCAACCGAUUCAGCGGAAGCAUUCCAACAUUCUUGCUUUCGCUUCCACAUAUUGAACGGCUGAACCUCUCGAAAAAUUUCCUGGGAGGACAGAUUCUGAGAAAUCGGUCUUUGAAUCUUUCACCUUCGCUUAGGAGUCUUCGGUUUUCCCAAAACAAUUUGAGUGGUAGAUUUUCCUUCACUUGGCUUGGAAAUCUCACAAAACUAGAAGAGAUAGACCUUUCAGGCAAUUCGAACCUAGUUGUUGACGUUAGUAUUUCCAGAUGGACAUCCCCAUUACAAUUGAAACAACUACUGCUCUCUGGUUGUGACAUUGACAAGAACAUUAUUGCAGAACCACAUUUUUUACGCACACAACAUCAUUUAGAGGUGCUUGAUUUGUCCAACAACAACUUGUCAGGCAGCAUGCCAAAUUGGUUGUUUACAAAGGAAGCAAGACUACAGGAUCUAAAUCUUGGGAAUAACUCGCUAACUGGAUCUCUGGACCCAAUAUGGCAUACCCAAUCUUCACUCAGUGUUAUCAACAUACACAUGAACCAUAUCACAGGACAGCUGCCGGCCAACCUUAGCUCAAUGUUUCCAGGCUUGUUUGUUCUAGAUUUUUCUAGUAACGACUUAUUUGGGCACAUACCAACGUCAUUGUGCGAGAUCAGCGGCAUGCAUGUUUUAGACCUAUCAAACAACAACCUUUCUGGGGAAGUUCCAGCUUGUGUUUUUACUAAUUAUCCCAUGCUAAUGACCUUGAAGGUCUCAAACAACAAGCUUGGUGGUCUGCUUUUUAGUGGAAUGAGUAAUUUGUCCAGUAUACGUGAAUUGUGUUUGGAUGGUAACAAAUUUAAAGGGACAUUGCCUCGUGAUCUGGCAGGAGAGAAUCUAAGGGUCAUUGAUUUGCAUGAUAACGAGUUGUCUGGCAAACUCGAUACAUCAUUUUGGAAUAUGUCUUGUUUGAAAGUCCUGAAUCUUGCUGGCAACCAUAUAACCGGCAAAAUUGAUCAACACAUUUGCGGCUUCACGGAAAUAUGCCUUUUAGAUCUGUCGCGCAACUACCUUACAGGGUCUGUACCAAAUAGUUGCUUCAUAGUGCUAAAUUUUCUUAACCUUACUGGGAACUCCUUAUCUAGCGAUAUCUCUUUUGCUCUUUUCAACACAUCAAGUCUAAUUGCUUUGGACAUCAGGCACAAUCAUUUCAUGGGCAACCUCAAUUGGGUAGGUUACCUUGAAAACAUUAGGCUACUUUCGCUGGGCGGAAAUAAGUAUGAAGGGCAGAUCACUCCAAACCUGUGCAGACUCAUGUACAUGAGGAUAAUUGAUUUGUCCCAUAACAAGCUUUCAGGUUCUCUGCCAGCAUGUAUCGGUAACAUAUCUUUCAAAGGUGACACAGAUGACCAAAUUCUUCAUUCAAUUGAUGGGAUUGCUAGUCCAUCCUAUCACACAUUCUAUGUCUUAAAAGACUUCACCUUUGCUACCAAAGGGAAUCUCUAUACAUACGGUCGUAGUUUCUUCAUUUCAAUGGCUGGCAUUGACCUGUCUGCAAACAUGUUGGAUGGAGAAAUUCCUUGGGAGCUAGGAAACCUGAGGCAUAUCAAAUCCCUUAAUUUGUCCAGCAAUUUCUUUGUUGGUCCGAUCCCAACAACCUUGGGCGGCAUGGGGGAGAUAGAAAGCUUGGACCUCUCCCACAAUGAGCUGAGUGGACCAAUACCUUGGCAGUUAACCCAGCUAUCUUCUUUGGGGGUGUUCUCUGUGGCAUACAACAACUUGUCAGGAUGCAUACCAAACUCUGGUCAGCUCAGCUCAUUCAACAUGGACAGCUACCUAGCCAACAUCAACCUUCACAAUAUUACUCAUGGGAAUACUUGUGCUGCUCCCAGUCCAGAUCCUGCUGCGGGGAAAGAUGUAGAAGAGAUGCGCAGUGACCCAGUUCUAUACGUGGUCACAGCUGUCGGCUUUGUUUUUGCAUUUUGGGCUACUAUUGGGUUCUCAUUUUGCCAUCCUUAUGGAAGAUCUGUAAUGCUUAAGCUGUAG
rnacentral:rRNA from 1 species